UACGAAGGGGGCUAGCGUUGUUCGGAAUUACUGGGCGUAAAGCGUGCGCAGGCGGUUUUGUAAGGCAGGUGUGAAAUCCCCGGGCUCAACCUGGGAAUGGCAUUUGGGACUGCAAGGCUGGAGUGUGGCAGAGGAGACUGGAAUUCCUGGUGUAGCAGUGAAAUGCGUAGAUAUCAGGAGGAAUACCGAUGGCGAAGGCAGGUCUCUGGGCUGACACUGACGCUCAUGCACGAAAGCGUGGGGAGCAAACAGG
rnacentral:rRNA from 1 species